rnacentral:rRNA from 1 species
UUGAACGCUGGCGGCAUGCUUUACACAUGCACGUCGAACGGCAGCGCGGGCUUCGGCCUGGCGGCGAGUGGCGAACGGGUGAGUAAUGCAUCGGAACGUGCCCAGUAGUGGGGGAUAGCCCGGCGAAAGCCGGAUUAAUACCGCAUACGACCUGAGGGUGAAAGCGGGGGACCGAAAGGCCUCGCGCUAUUGGAGCGGCCGAUGUCGGAUUAGCUAGUUGGUGGGGUAAAGGCUUACCAAGGCGACGAUCCGUAGCUGGUCUGAGAGGACGACCAGCCACACUGGGACUGAGACACGGCCCAGACUCCUACGGGAGGCAGCAGUGGGGAAUUUUGGACAAUGGGGGCAACCCUGAUCCAGCCAUGCCGCGUGCGGGAAGAAGGCCUUCGGGUUGUAAACCGCUUUUGUUCGGGAAGAAAUCCUCUGGGCUAAUACCCCGGGGGGAUGACGGUACCGGAAGAAUAAGCACCGGCUAACUACGUG